GACAAUUGAAAAAAAAAAGCACAAGCCUAAUUGCUUUUUCUUUAAAAAUAUUGUACAAGCCCAAUUUUAGCCUGAGCCCGCACCAAAAAAUGAACCAAAUUAUUAACAGUCCAUUUACAAAAUUUUAACCCAAUUACAAGCCCAAAAUCCCCAUGGCCCAAUCUAAUUAACCCAAUUACCCAAACCCAAGUUAAACCCAAAACAAUUAGUCAAACUAGGGUUUCAACUUUUCUAGGGCUGCCGGCGUCGCAUCAUCAGUGCAAGUGGCGCUCCUGCCACCGCCACCGCCACCUGCUCACUGACACGCCACCAUCAAUCACCUGCAAGGAAGAAGACACGCAAGCAGUAGAAAAUAUAAAAAAAAUUGUAACAUUGGCUAUAAAAGCCGAAUCUCAUCACUAUAUGAGGGGUUCUUUUUUUUCCCCUUUUUUAGGAACACUUUAAAAAAAUAAAAAGCAAGAAACAUUGAAGGUGAUUUUUUUUCUCUCUUUCAGCUCUAUAGAUCUAUUUUUCUUUUUGAUUUUUGAUUUUUCCUUUUACUUGUAUAUAUAAACAAAAAUAGUAAAUAAAAGGAGAAGAAAAACUUACCGGAGACACACCGUGACCCGCUGUCGGAGGGUGGUUCUUCGUCGCCGAACCCGGACCGAGAGAGGGUGUUGGGAUCUUUCCCUUCGGCCUUUGGUUCAUGAAGGCUCGGCCUUCAUUCGGCUUUUGAAGCGGGGUUAAAAACCCAUUUUUUCGGUGGCUUCGACCACCGCCUGCGGUGGAGCCACGGCGGUCGGCACGACGGCCGUCAGUCGGAGCAUGGACUAGAGGGAGGGGGAUUUUUUAGAGAGAUUUCGGUUUUUUUAAG
rnacentral:lncRNA from 1 species